rnacentral:rRNA from 1 species
NGNGAACGCUAGCGGGAGGCCUAACACAUGCAAGCCGAGCGGUAGAGUCUCUUCGGAGACUUGAGAGCGGCGCACGGGUGCGGAACACGUGUGCAACCUGCCUUUAUCUGGGGGAUAGCCUUUCGAAAGGAAGAUUAAUACCCCAUAAUAUAUUGAGUGGCAUCACUUGAUAUUGAAAACUCCGGUGGAUAGAGAUGGGCACGCGCAAGAUUAGAUAGUUGGUGAGGUAACGGCUCACCAAGUCAGCGAUCUUUAGGGGGCCUGAGAGGGUGAUCCCCCACACUGGUACUGAGACACGGACCAGACUCCUACGGGAGGCAGCAGUGAGGAAUAUUGGACAAUGGGUGAGAGCCUGAUCCAGCCAUCCCGCGUGAAGGACGACGGCCCUAUGGGUUGUAAACUUCUUUUGUAUAGGGAUAAACCUAGAUACGUGUAUCUAGCUGAAGGUACUAUACGAAUAAGCACCGGCUAACUCCGUGCCAGCAGCCGCGGUAAUACGGAGGGUGCAAGCGUUAUCCGGAUUUAUUGGGUUUAAAGGGUCCGUAGGCUGAUUUGUAAGUCAGUGGUGAAAUCUCACAGCUUAACUGUGAAACUGCCAUUGAUACUGCAAGUCUUGAGUGUUGUUGAAGUAGCUGGAAUAAGUAGUGUAGCGGUGAAAUGCAUAGAUAUUACUUAGAACACCAAUUGCGAAGGCAGGUUACUAAGCAACAACUGACGCUGAUGGACGAAAGCGUGGGGAGCGAACAGGAUUAGAUACCCUGGUAGUCCACGCCGUAAACGAUGCUAACUCGUUUUUGGGUUUUCGGAUUCAGAGACUAAGCGAAAGUGAUAAGUUAGCCACCUGGGGAGUACGAACGCAAGUUUGAAACUCAAAGGAAUUGACGGGGGCCCGCACAAGCGGUGGAUUAUGUGGUUUAAUUCGAUGAUACGCGAGGAACCUUACCAAGGCUUAAAUGGGAAAUGACAGGUUUAGAAAUAGACUUUUCUUCGGACAUUUUUCAAGGUGCUGCAUGGUUGUCGUCAGCUCGUGCCGUGAGGUGUUAGGUUAAGUCCUGCAACGAGCGCAACCCCUGUCACUAGUUGCCAUCAUUAAGUUAGGGACUCUAGUGAGACUGCCUACGCAAGUAGAGAGGAAGGUGGGGAUGACGUCAAAUCAUCACGGCCCUUACGCCUUGGGCCACACACGUAAUACAAUGGCCGGUACAGAGGGCAGCUACACAGUGAUGUGAUGCAAAUCUCGAAAGCCGGUCUCAGUUCGGAUUGGAGUCUGCAACUCGACUCUAUGAAGCUGGAAUCGCUAGUAAUCGCGCAUCAGCCAUGGCGCGGUGAAUACGUUCCCGGGCCUUGUACACACCGCCCGUCAAGCCAUGGAAGUCUGGGGUAC